rnacentral:rRNA from 1 species
UGAACGCUGGCGGCGUGCCUAAUACAUGCAAGUCGAGCGAACAGACGAGGAGCUUGCUCCUCUGACGUUAGCGGCGGACGGGUGAGUAACACGUGGAUAACCUACCUAUAAGACUGGGAUAACUUCGGGAAACCGGAGCUAAUACCGGAUAAUAUAUUGAACCGCAUGGUUCACUAGUGAAAGACGGUUUUGCUGUCACUUAUAGAUGGAUCCGCGCCGCAUUAGCUAGUUGGUAAGGUAACGGCUUACCAAGGCAACGAUGCGUAGCCGACCUGAGAGGGUGAUCGGCCACACUGGAACUGAGACACGGUCCAGACUCCUACGGGAGGCAGCAGUAGGGAAUCUUCCGCAAUGGGCGAAAGCUUGACGGAGCAACGCCGCGUGAGUGAUGAAGGUCUUCGGAUCGUAAAACUCUGUUAUUAGGGAAGAACAAAUGUGUAAGUAACUAUGCACGUCUUGACGGUACCUAAUCAGAAAGCCACGGCUAACUACGUG